rnacentral:rRNA from 1 species
UACGGAGGGGGCUAGCGUUGUUCGGAAUUACUGGGCGUAAAGCGUGCGCAGGCGGUUUUGUAAGCCAGAUGUGAAAUCCCCGGGCUUAACCUGGGAAUGGCAUUUGGGACUGCAAGGCUCGAGUGCGGCAGAGGAGACUGGAAUUCCUGGUGUAGCAGUGAAAUGCGUAGAUAUCAGGAGGAACACCGAUGGCGAAGGCAGGUCUCUGGGCUGACACUGACGCUGAGGCGCGAAAGCUAGGGGAGCGAACGGG